ensembl:lncRNA
AAACUGACAUCUGGGACCCCAAAUGCCCCCAUGGGACCCCAAAAUCCCACACGGGGACCCAAAAUCCCACACGGGGACCCCAAAAUCCCACACGGAGACCCCAAAUGCCCCCAUGAGACCCCAAAAGGGACCCCAAAAGGGACCCCAAAACCCCAAAGGGGACCCCAAAAGGGACCCCAAAGUGACCCCAAAUCCCACACGGGGACCCCAAAAAUGGCAUCUGGGACCCCAAAUGCCCCCAUGGGACCCCAAAAGGGACCCCAAAAGGGACCCCAAAUGUCCCCAUGGGACCCCAAAAGGGACCCCAAAGUGACCCCAAAUGCCACACGGGGACCCCAAAAUGACAUCUGGGACCCGAAAAAUCCCUCUUAGAAACCCCACAGGACUCCAAAGAGCCCCAAAAUCCCACACGGGGACCCCAAAAAUGAAAUCGGGGACCCCAAAAUUCACAUCUGGGACCCCAAAUGCCCCCAUGGGGCCCCAAAAAUGACAUCUGGGACCCCAAAAAUCCCACUUAGAAACCCCAAAGGACCCCAAAGAGCCCCAAAAUCCCACACGGGGACCCCAGAAAUGACAUCUGGGACCCCAAAAUUCACAUCUCGAACCCCAAAUGCCCCCAUGGGACCCCAAAAAUGACAUCUGGGACCCCGAAAGUGACACAAAAAGUGACGUCUGGGAUCCCCAAAUCCCCCAUGGGACCCCAAAAAUGACAUCUGGGACCCCAAAAAUCCUCUUUGGGACCCCAAAAUCCCACAUGGGGACCCCAAAAUGACAUCUGGGACCCCAAAAGUGUCAACUGGAACCCCAAAAUCCUCUUGUGGGACCCCAAAAUCCCCCAUAAAUCCCCAAAAAUGACAUCUGGGACCCCAAAAAUCCCCCAUGGGACCCCAAAAUCCCACACGGGGACCCCAAAAUGACAUCUGGGACCCCAAAUGCCCCCAUAGAACCCCAAAAUCCCCUUCUGGGACCCCAAAAAUCCCCUUUGGGACCCCAAAAAUGCCCCAUGGGACCCCAAAAAUCCCUCUUAGAAACCCCAUAGGACUCCAAAGAGCCCCAAAAUCCCACACGGGGACCCCAAAAAUGACAUCGGGGACCCCAAAAUUCACAUCUGGGACCCCAAAUGCCCCCAUGGGACCCCAAAAAUGACAUCUGGGACCCCAAAAGUGACACAAAAAGUGACGUCUGGGAUCCCCAAAUCCCCCAUGGGACCCCAAAAAUGACAUCUGGGACCCCAAAAGUGUCAACUGGAACCCCAAAAUCCUCUUGUGGGACCCCAAAAUCCCCCAUAGAUCCCCAAAAAUGACAUCUGGGACCCCAAAAAUCCCCCAUGGGACCCCAAAAUCCCACACGGGGACCCCAAAAUGACAUCUGGGACCCCAAAAUCCCCCAUAGAACCCCAAAAUCCCCUUGUGGGACCCCAAAAAUCCCCUUUGGGACCCCAAAAAUGCCCCAUGGGACCCCAAAAAUCCCUCUUAGAAACCCCACAGGACUCCAAAGAGCCCCAAAAUCCCACACGGGGACCCCAAAAAUGACAUCGGGGACCCCAAAAUUCACACCUGGGACCCCAAAUGCCCCCAUGGGACCCCAAAAAUGACAUCUGGGACCCCAAAAGUGACCCCAAAUGCCCCCAUGGGACCCCAAAAAUGACAUCAGGGACCCCAAAAGGGACCCCCGAAGUGACUCCAAAUCCCACACGGGGACCCCAAAAAUGACAUCUGGGACCCCAAAAUUCACAUCUCGAACCCCAAAUGCCCCCAUGGGACCCCAAAAAUGACAUCUGGGACCCCAAAAGUGACACAAAAAAUGACAUCUGGGACCCCAAAAGUGACACAAAAAGUGAUGUCUGGGAUCCCCAAAUCCCCCAUGGGACCCCAAAAAUGACAUCUGGGACCCCAAAAAUCCCCCAUGGGACCCCAAAAUCACGUCUGGAACCCCAAAAUCCCCCAUUUCCCCCCCCAAAGCCCCUCUGGAACCCCAAAAUUCCACACGGAGACCCCAAAAAUCACAUCAGGGACCCCAAAAAUCACAUCUUGGGGCCCAAAUGCCUUUAUGGGACCCCAAAAAUGACAUCUGUGACCCCAAAAGUGUCAACUGGAACCCCAAAAUCCUCUUGUGGGACCCCAAAAUCCCCCAUAGAUCCCCAAAAAUGACAUCUGGGACCCCAAAAAUCCCCCAUGGGACCCCAAAAUCCCACACGGAGACCCCAAAAAUCCCCCAUGGGACCCCAAAUGCCCCCAUAGAACCCCAAAAUCCCCUUGUGGGACCCCAAAAAUCCCCUUUGGGACCCCAAAAAUGCCCCAUGGGACCCCAAAAAUCCCUCUUAGAAACCCCACAGGACUCCAAAGAGCCCCAAAAUCCCACAUGGGGACCCCAAAAAUGACAUCUGGGACCCCAAAAUUCACAUCUCGAACCCCAAAUGCCCCCAUGGGACCCCAAAA